AUUGAACGCUGGCGGCAUGCUUUACACAUGCAAGUCGAACGGUAACAGGCCGCAAGGUGCUGACGAGUGGCGAGCGGGUGAGUAAUGCAUCGGAACGUGCCCAGUCGUGGGGGAUAACUACUCGAAAGAGUAGCUAAUACCGCAUACGAUCUAUGGAUGAAAGCGGGGGACCGUAAGGCCUCGCGCGAUUGGAGCGGCCGAUGUCAGAUUAGGUAGUUGGUGGGGUAAAGGCUCACCAAGCCAACGAUCUGUAGCUGGUCUGAGAGGACGACCAGCCACGCUGGGACUGAGACACGGCCCAGACUCCUACGGGAGGCAGCAGUGGGGAAUUUUGGACAAUGGGCGCAAGCCUGAUCCAGCAAUGCCGCGUGCAGGAAGAAGGCCUUCGGGUUGUAAACUGCUUUUGUACGGAACGAAACGGCUCUGGUUAAUACCCGGGGCUAAUGACGGUACCGUAAGAAUAAGCACCGGCUAACUACGUG
rnacentral:rRNA from 1 species